AUGAGGACUUGGUCAGGCAGGAGCUGAAUGUCAACUAGUCAAAGAUGGAGGCCGGAGCGGGGAGGCCAUGAGGAGGGGAAGAUACAAGCGGAGUAGAGCGGCUGCUAUACGAACGCCUCACCACUUAUGACCCCGAACCCCGUGAGUCUUCCACAUCUAAGCCAGUAACCGCGCCAGACCAGUUUGGAACAAGCUGGGAACUGCUGGAAGCUCGCUACCAGGCGCUCCCCCGCAGUGCCAGCAGCCGGACAGGGCUGGAAACCCUCUCUGAAGCCCUCCAGCAGCAGCGGAACCCUUCAGGACGGAGCAGUCGCCUCGAUUUAGAUGUAGAGAACAAACCCUAAGGUGUAUAAAGGAUCUUAUGUGUCUCCGUGGGGCGCCUACAAAGCCGGGAACUAGUGGAAGGCAUCGGAGGAAAAUAACAGCAUGAAAUACUGCUGUGUAAGCAUCACUGGAACAGGGGGUUGUCAUUUUUUUUUUGUCCUUCUUUCGAUUAAAAAAAAAGUUGGUUUAACUUAACAAAUAUAACCAAUUAAUAUUCCCAAACAUAAUGAAAUAAAAAUACUGGUUUAUCUUUAGCCUUGACAUUCAGAAAUAAGAAUCAACACACAGUAAGUCCCUUCUGGCACUUUAAACAGUUCUCAUUCAUACUGAGGGAAAAGACAAAGUAUGUGGCAAGUGUUUGUAUGCUGAGCAGUUAGACAAACCUUUAAAAAAGCUUCAGGAAAUAAGAGAGUAAGAGUGUUUGCACUAACACAAUUCCCCCCCCACCCCCAAAUUAACAUGCCUGUGCAACUCUGUGCCAUUCCACAUCGAAUUAGGUACGUUCUAUAUACACGUUUAUGUGAAAUAAAUGCAGCAUUUGUCAGAUUUUUCAAAGCAGAGAACUUAAAGCAGAUUUCUUUCAGCAAAUAUUCCCACUGAGAACAAUUAUAACGAUCCCUCUAAUGCUUUUCCCCCAAAGCCUUUCUAGCUUGUUAAAGGAAGCGUAACAUUGGCACACCUUCUCACAGAGCUCUUGGAAUAGUACAACCAGCAACAAAUUGCAGAGCACCUACCAGUUGUUUGAAAGCACUACAUUCCGCUAGCAUCAGAAACCAAAACAUGUAGUUUUUACUUAAUCUUAGAGUGCACAUAGAGCUUUGGAAAGAGGUACUAUAAAAUUUACAUUGCCACAGUAGAAAAUAAAAGAGGGAAAAAGGUAAAGAGAAAGAAGCAAAACAGUGUUCCAAACUUUCAUAUCUAUAUCUGAGUGUUUCAUGUUUUACCCAAAGUCCCAACAUCUUUAGGCAGAUAAGCCACAUGGAAAACAAGCAAAACCAGAACCCAAUAUAGAAACUGAAGAUUCUCUAAGUCUCUAGUCCUCAGCUGUGGAGGAUGAACUGAAGAGUUGAAUUGUAAGCAGAGUAAAUAAAAACACUUGAAUGAGAUUCUGAAGUCUCAGUAAUGCAGUUCAAAGCACAAAAUAUGACAUUAAACAGAUACUAAUGGAGAUCCUCUAAGUCUAGGAGCUACAUAAGAAGGAAAGCACAUUAGCAGUAGUACAAGCCACCAUUUUUUACAGCUACAAACCUCUGCAUUUCCUACAUUAACUCAUGACUUUUAUAGUCUGUAUUUAGCAUGCUUCCAAUGAUAAUAGUUAUCUCAGUAUUCCAACAGACUUUUCCAAACUAAGAGGUACUUCAGCUUGGGUUGUUUAAGAGUCCGACAGCACAGCUUCUGUAGUGAAAAAAAGCAAAACAAGCAAAACUACCUGGCACACAGACCGAGAUGAGCCACAGAGACCUACCCCUUCUCAGCUAAACCAGUAUUCCACAAGUGCACCAACAAACACAUAUUUAACUCUUACUGACAGAGAACUCAUUGCCAAAUCUAUUUUUUUCCUCCUGUAAAUGCAAUGCCUGCAAUCCUUAAAUACCAACAUUCAACUAAGAUUCAUAAGAAAACAAAGUAAUCUUACCUUAUUUGAAGAAUAAUCAGGUAUUGGAGAACAACAGCUACGGAGGAUUCUUGUUUUGUAGGAUGCGAAGGAUCUUCACUAGUAUCAAAAACCCUAACUAAAAACUGGAGCUAGACUGUGCAGCACCACUGCGUAAGGCACCAGAGUAAAAAGCAUACGUGUGUAGGUACAGUUAAAGUAUAAAUGAAAUUGUGUUGGUGUGUUGCACCUCAUCAACACAACGCUCUAACACUACACCACGUGACUGGCAAUAUAAAAGCAGCAAAUCACUUUCCUGCUUCUUUAACUGAUUGACUAAUUCAGACCAUAAUUAGCAAACUGUUUACACAUGGAAACAAAACCACCUGGAUUUUCUGACUUUUCACACUCAUUUAGUGAGCUUUCCUGUUUAAAGCUAAUAGAGAAUGUAUGGUACUUUAAAUUUUAAUCCGUGUUUCCAGCAACACUGCACAACAAAUGCUCAAGAAUUAUUUUUUUUAUAAAAAUAAAACACAGGAACACAGAAAUUCAUGCCUUAUUCAGUGCAGAUUCCUUGCCAGCACUCUAUAGCAUACCUCUAUGAGGAAAAUCCAGAACCAAACUAUUUUUAAAAUUAAUUCUUUUUCCUCUUCUUCUGGAUUCACACAAAAGAACCCCACAUGGGUAUAAGUCCCGCUAUUUAUUCAUCUGGAUUCUCAUACUGAUCUUGCAGUGACAUGCAAGUACAACAUAAAUCAAAUUCCUUCACAUCAGUUUAUAAAAUUCUAGUAGUAAUUGAACAGUAGCUUCCUGCACCAGUUCUUAGAGUAAGACAGUCUUACCAUUUGAUAAUUAGCAGUAUCACCAUUGCCAGAAAACCCAAACUUCUUGGGAGAAAGGAAACAAA